AUUGAACGCUGGCGGCAGGCCUAACACAUGCAAGUCGAGCGGAUGAAGGGAGCUUGCUCUUGGAUUCAGCGGCGGACGGGUGAGUAAUGCCCAGGAAUCUGCCUGGUAGUGGGGGAUAACGUCCGGAAACGGGCGCUAAUACCGCAUACGUCCUGAGGGAGAAAGUGGGGGAUCUUCGGACCUCACGCUAUCAGAUGAGCCUAGGUCGGAUUAGCUAGUUGGUGGGGUAAAGGCCUACCAAGGCGACGAUCCGUAACUGGUCUGAGAGGAUGAUCAGUCACACUGGAACUGAGACACGGUCCAGACUCCUACGGGAGGCAGCAGUGGGGAAUAUUGGACAAUGGGCGAAAGCCUGAUCCAGCCAUGCCGCGUGUGUGAAGAAGGUCUUCGGAUUGUAAAGCACUUUAAGUUGGGAGGAAGGGCAGUAAGUUAAUACCUUGCUGUUUUGACGUUACCAACAGAAUAAGCACCGGCUAACUUCGUG
rnacentral:rRNA from 1 species